rfam:Ailuropoda melanoleuca scaffold582_135, whole genome shotgun sequence.
GCCUGGCUGGCUCAGUCGGUAGAGCAUCUGAUUCUUGAUCUCGGGGUCGUGGGUUUGAGCCCCACAUUGGGUG